CCUACGUGGGGCUGCAGUGGGGCCUCUUGCACAAUGGGCGAACCCCUGCUCCCGCCACGCCGCGUGACUGAAGAAGUAUUUCGGUAUGUAAAGCUCUAUCAGCAGGGAAGAAAAUGACGGUACCUGACUAAGAAGCCCCGGCUAACUACGUGCCAGCAGCCGCGGUAAUACGUAGGGGGCAAGCGUUAUCCGGAUUUACUGGGUGUAAAGGGAGCGUAGACGGGGAUGCAAGUCAGAAGUGAAAGCCCGGGGCUCAACCCCGGGACUGCAUUUGAAACUGUGUGACUGGAGUGCAGGAGAGGUAAGCGGAAUUCGUGGUGUAGCGGUGAAAUGCGUAGAUAUCAGGAGGAACACCAGUGGCGAAGGCGGCUUACUGGACUGUAACUGACGUUGAGGCUCGAAAGCGUGGGGAGCAAACAGGAUUAGAUACCCUAGUAGUC
rnacentral:rRNA from 1 species